rnacentral:rRNA from 1 species
UACAGAGGGGGCAAGCGUUGUUCGGAAUUACUGGGCGUAAAGGGCGCGUAGGCGGCCUGUUAAGUCGAACGUGAAAUCCCCGGGCUCAACCCGGGAACUGCGUCCGAUACUGGCAGGCUUGAAUCCGGGAGAGGGAUGUGGAAUUCCAGGUGUAGCGGUGAAAUGCGUAGAUAUCGGGAGGAACAUCAGUGGCGAAGGCGGCCAUCUGGACUGACACUGACACUGAGACACGAAAGCGUGGGGAGCAAACAGG